GGAGUUCUGAAAUAUAUAUUAAAAUAUAUUAUAUUCUAUUUUUUAAAUUUAUAGCAAUAUUUUGUAUAUUGCUACAUUUACUGUAAAUAUUUGAAAUCAAAUUUAAAGUAAUUUGUUCAUGAUUUAUUCAAGUGGUUCAAAAUGUUCAUAUGACCAGAACGUGAAUCAUAAAGGUUAGAAAUGAUUUGCAUCAUCCUUGUGGCAGGCCAUGGGACAAUAUUGGAGAAUGAAAUCAAG